rnacentral:rRNA from 1 species
GACGAACGCUGGCGGCGUGCUUAACACAUGCAAGUCGAACGGAAAGGCCCUGCUUGCCGGGUACUCGAGUGGCGAACGGGUGAGUAACACGUGGGUGAUCUGCCCUGCACUUCGGGAUAAGCCUGGGAAACUGGGUCUAAUACCGGAUAGGAGCCAUUUUUAGUGUGAUGGUUGGAAAGUUUUUUCGGUGUAGGAUGAGCUCGCGGCCUAUCAGCUUGUUGGUGGGGUAAUGGCCUACCAAGGCGGCGACGGGUAGCCGGCCUGAGAGGGUGGACGGCCACAUUGGGACUGAGAUACGGCCCAGACUCCUACGGGAGGCAGCAGUGGGGAAUAUUGCACAAUGGGCGCAAGCCUGAUGCAGCGACGCCGCGUGGGGGAGGACGGCCUUCGGGUUGUAAACUCCUUUCGCUAGGGACGAAGCUUUUUGUGACGGUACCUAGAGAAGAAGCACCGGCUAACUACGUG